UUUGUCCCCCAAACAAUAUCAAAGUAAAGGAAACGGUUUUCUCAGCCAAAAAAGGGCUCCACUUCACUACUCCGAGUCUGAGUCUGAGUCAAUAGAAAGAUACAAUCGCUGCCUUACAGAACGUUUUGGGCGAGGAAAUGUGAAAGGGCUAUCAGAUCUUUGCCGACUUGCCUUCUCAGGUCUACCAUCAUUCAUACCAAGAAGCAAAGAAGCAGUGUCAGCCAAAGACUCCAUUGCACCUUCUCUCGAUGGCACCUGCUUUCUCAAAUUCAGUCCAUUUUCAGGAAUUGAAUCACUGUGAUUGCCAGUGGCACCACCACCACCAAGACUAAGAGAGAUCCAAUCCUCUGUAUGGACACCAUUUGACAUAUCAGCUUGAUCCCUCAAAUCAGACUGCCCUGAUGCAUCUGAAGGCCUAGUUG
rnacentral:misc_RNA from 1 species